GUCUAUGGCCAUACCACCCUGAACGUGCCCGAUCUCGGAAGCUAAGCAGGGUUGGGCCCGGUUAGUACUUGGAUGGGAGACCGUCUGGGAAUACCGGGUGCCGUGGGCU
ensembl:rRNA 5S_rRNA 5S ribosomal RNA